rnacentral:rRNA from 1 species
GACGUAGGAUGCAAGCGUUGUCCGGAUUUAUUGGGCGUAAAGAGUUCGUAGGUGGUUCGUUAAGUCUGAUGUUAAAGACUGGGGCUCAACCCUGGAAGUGCAUUGGAUACUGGCGGACUUGAGUGUGGUAGAGGCAAUCGGAAUUCCAGGUGUAGCGGUGAAAUGCGUAGAUAUCAGGAGGAACACCAGCGGCGAAGGCGGCGCUCUGGGCCGGAACUGACGCUGAGGAGCGAAAGCGUGGGGAGCAAACAGG